rnacentral:rRNA from 1 species
CCUACGGGGGGCUGCAGUGGGGAAUAUUGCACAAUGGGGGAAACCCUGAUGCAGCCAUGCCGCGUGUGUGAAGAAGGCCUUCGGGUUGUAAAGCACUUUCAGCGAGGAGGAAAGGUUGGCGCCUAAUACGUGUCAACUGUGACGUUACUCGCAGAAGAAGCACCGGCUAACUCCGUGCCAGCAGCCGCGGUAAUACGGAGGGUGCAAGCGUUAAUCGGAAUUACUGGGCGUAAAGCGCACGCAGGCGGUGGAUUAGUUUGGAGGGAAAGGCCCCGGCUUAAACCUGGAAUUGCAUUUAAAACUGUCCAGCUAGAGUCUUGUAGAGGGGGGUAGAAUUCCAGGUGUAGCGGUGAAAUGCGUAGAGAUCUGGAGCAAUACCGGUGGCGAAGGCGGCCCCCUGGACAAAGACUGACGCUCAGGUGCGAAAGCGUGGGGAGCAAACAGGAUUAGAUACCCUAGUAGUC